rnacentral:rRNA from 1 species
GAUGAACGCUGGCGGCGUGCCUAAUACAUGCAAGUCGAGCGAACAGACGAGGAGCUUGCUCCUCUGACGUUAGCGGCGGACGGGUGAGUAACACGUGGAUAACCUACCUAUAAGACUGGGAUAACUUCGGGAAACCGGAGCUAAUACCGGAUAAUAUAUUGAACCGCAUGGUUCAAUAGUGAAAGACGGUUUUGCUGUCACUUAUAGAUGGAUCCGCGCCGCAUUAGCUAGUUGGUAAGGUAACGGCUUACCAAGGCAACGAUGCGUAGCCGACCUGAGAGGGGGACGGGCCACACUGGAACUGAAACACGGUCCAGACUCCUACGGGAGGCAGCAGGGGGGAUUUGCCGGAAAUGGGCGAAAGCCUGACGGAGCAGCGCCGCGUGAGUGAAGAAGUUCUUGGGAUCGAAAACCUUUUUUAUUGGGGAAAAAAAAUUGUUAAAGAAAAUAUGCCCGUUUGGACGGUACCUAACAAAAAAGCCACGGCUAACUACGUG